rnacentral:rRNA from 1 species
GACAGAGGAGCCAAGCGUUGUCCGGACUGACUGGGCGUAAAGCGCACGCAGGCGGCGCUGUGCGUGGGGUGUGAAAGCUCUUGGCUUAACUGAGAGAGGCCAUCCCAUACGGCAGUGCUCGAGUGAUGCAGAGGUCCGCGGAAUUGCCGGUGUAGUGGUGAAAUGCGUAGAGAUCGGCAGGAACAGCCCCAGGGGGAAACCAGCGGACUGGGGCAUUGGCUGACGCUCAAGUGCGACGAGCGUGGGGGAGCCGAACCGG